rnacentral:rRNA from 1 species
UACGUAGGUGGCAAGCGUUGUCCGGAUUUAUUGGGUUUAAAGGGUGCGUAGGCGGCCCUGUAAGUCAGUGCUGAAAUAUCCCAGCUUAACUGGGAGGGUGGCAUUGAUACUGCGGGGCUAGAGUACAGAUGAGGUGGGCGGAAUAUGUCAUGUAGCGGUGAAAUGCAUAGAUAUGACAUAGAACACCAAUUGCGAAGGCAGCUCACUAAGCAGAUAUUGACGCUGAGGCACGAAAGCGUGGGGAUCAAACAGG